GGGUUGUGAGGUUAAGCGACUAAGCGUACACGGUGGAUGCCCUGGCAGUCAGAGGCGAUGAAGGACGUGCUAAUCUGCGAUAAGCGUCGGUAAGGUGAUAUGAACCGUUAUAACCGGCGAUUUCCGAAUGGGGAAACCCAGUGUGAUUCGUCACACUAUCAUUAACUGAAUCCAUAGGUUAAUGAGGCGAACCGGGGGAACUGAAACAUCUAAGUACCCCGAGGAAAAGAAAUCAACCGAGAUUCCCCCAGUAGCGGCGAGCGAACGGGGAGCAGCCCAGAGCCUGAAUCAGUGUGUGUGUUAGUGGAAGCGUCUGGAAAGGCGCGCGAUACAGGGUGACAGCCCCGUACACAAAAAUGCACAUAUUGUGAGCUCGAUGAGUAGGGCGGGACACGUGGUAUCCUGUCUGAAUAUGGGGGGACCAUCCUCCAAGGCUAAAUACUCCUGACUGACCGAUAGUGAACCAGUACCGUGAGGGAAAGGCGAAAAGAACCCCGGCGAGGGGAGUGAAAAAGAACCUGAAACCGUGUACGUACAAGCAGUGGGAGCACGCUUAGGCGUGUGACUGCGUACCUUUUGUAUAAUGGGUCAGCGACUUAUAUUCUGUAGCAAGGUUAACCGAAUAGGGGAGCCGAAGGGAAACCGAGUCUUAACUGGGCGUUAAGUUGCAGGGUAUAGACCCGAAACCCGGUGAUCUAGCCAUGGGCAGGUUGAAGGUUGGGUAACACUAACUGGAGGACCGAACCGACUAAUGUUGAAAAAUUAGCGGAUGACUUGUGGCUGGGGGUGAAAGGCCAAUCAAACCGGGAGAUAGCUGGUUCUCCCCGAAAGCUAUUUAGGUAGCGCCUCGUGAAUUCAUCUCCGGGGGUAGAGCACUGUUUCGGCAAGGGGGUCAUCCCGACUUACCAACCCGAUGCAAACUGCGAAUACCGGAGAAUGUUAUCACGGGAGACACACGGCGGGUGCUAACGUCCGUCGUGAAGAGGGAAACAACCCAGACCGCCAGCUAAGGUCCCAAAGUCAUGGUUAAGUGGGAAACGAUGUGGGAAGGCCCAGACAGCCAGGAUGUUGGCUUAGAAGCAGCCAUCAUUUAAAGAAAGCGUAAUAGCUCACUGGUCGAGUCGGCCUGCGCGGAAGAUGUAACGGGGCUAAACCAUGCACCGAAGCUGCGGCAGCGACGCUGAUGCGUUGUUGGGUAGGGGAGCGUUCUGUAAGCCUGCGAAGGUGUGCUGUGAGGCAUGCUGGAGGUAUCAGAAGUGCGAAUGCUGACAUAAGUAACGAUAAAGCGGGUGAAAAGCCCGCUCGCCGGAAGACCAAGGGUUCCUGUCCAACGUUAAUCGGGGCAGGGUGAGUCGACCCCUAAGGCGAGGCCGAAAGGCGUAGUCGAUGGGAAACAGGUUAAUAUUCCUGUACUUGGUGUUACUGCGAAGGGGGGACGGAGAAGGCUAUGUUGGCCGGGCGACGGUUGUCCCGGUUUAAGCGUGUAGGCUGGUUUUCCAGGCAAAUCCGGAAAAUCAAGGCUGAGGCGUGAUGACGAGGCACUACGGUGCUGAAGCAACAAAUGCCCUGCUUCCAGGAAAAGCCUCUAAGCAUCAGGUAACAUCAAAUCGUACCCCAAACCGACACAGGUGGUCAGGUAGAGAAUACCAAGGCGCUUGAGAGAACUCGGGUGAAGGAACUAGGCAAAAUGGUGCCGUAACUUCGGGAGAAGGCACGCUGAUAUGUAGGUGAAGUCCCUCGCGGAUGGAGCUGAAAUCAGUCGAAGAUACCAGCUGGCUGCAACUGUUUAUUAAAAACACAGCACUGUGCAAACACGAAAGUGGACGUAUACGGUGUGACGCCUGCCCGGUGCCGGAAGGUUAAUUGAUGGGGUUAGCCGCAAGGCGAAGCUCUUGAUCGAAGCCCCGGUAAACGGCGGCCGUAACUAUAACGGUCCUAAGGUAGCGAAAUUCCUUGUCGGGUAAGUUCCGACCUGCACGAAUGGCGUAAUGAUGGCCAGGCUGUCUCCACCCGAGACUCAGUGAAAUUGAACUCGCUGUGAAGAUGCAGUGUACCCGCGGCAAGACGGAAAGACCCCGUGAACCUUUACUAUAGCUUGACACUGAACAUUGAGCCUUGAUGUGUAGGAUAGGUGGGAGGCUUAGAAGUGUGGACGCCAGUCUGCAUGGAGCCGACCUUGAAAUACCACCCUUUAAUGUUUGAUGUUCUAACGUUGACCCGUAAUCCGGGUUGCGGACAGUGUCUGGUGGGUAGUUUGACUGGGGCGGUCUCCUCCUAAAGAGUAACGGAGGAGCACGAAGGUUGGCUAAUCCUGGUCGGACAUCAGGAGGUUAGUGCAAUGGCAUAAGCCAGCUUGACUGCGAGCGUGACGGCGCGAGCAGGUGCGAAAGCAGGUCAUAGUGAUCCGGUGGUUCUGAAUGGAAGGGCCAUCGCUCAACGGAUAAAAGGUACUCCGGGGAUAACAGGCUGAUACCGCCCAAGAGUUCAUAUCGACGGCGGUGUUUGGCACCUCGAUGUCGGCUCAUCACAUCCUGGGGCUGAAGUAGGUCCCAAGGGUAUGGCUGUUCGCCAUUUAAAGUGGUACGCGAGCUGGGUUUAGAACGUCGUGAGACAGUUCGGUCCCUAUCUGCCGUGGGCGCUGGAGAACUGAGGGGGGCUGCUCCUAGUACGAGAGGACCGGAGUGGACGCAUCACUGGUGUUCGGGUUGUCAUGCCAAUGGCACUGCCCGGUAGCUAAAUGCGGAAGAGAUAAGUGCUGAAAGCAUCUAAGCACGAAACUUGCCCCGAGAUGAGUUCUCCCUGACUCCUUGAGAGUCCUGAAGGAACGUUGAAGACGACGACGUUGAUAGGCCGGGUGUGUAAGCGCAGCGAUGCGUUGAGCUAACCGGUACUAAUGAACCGUGAGGCUUAACCUUACAACGCCGAAGGUGUUU
rnacentral:rRNA from 1 species